AGUCGAGCGGUAGCACAGAGAGCUUGCUCUCAGGUGACGAGCGGCGGACGGGUGAGUAAUGUCUGGGAAACUGCCUGAUGGAGGGGGAUAACUACUAGAAACGGUAGCUAAUACCGCAUAAUGUCGCAAGACCAAAGUGGGGGACCUUCGGGCCUCAUGCCAUCAGAUGUGCCCAGAUGGGAUUAGCUAGUAGGUGGGGUAACGGCUCACCUAGGCGACGAUCCCUAGCUGGUCUGAGAGGAUGACCAGCCACACUGGAACUGAGACACGGUCCAGACUCCUACGGGAGGCAGCAGUGGGGAAUAUUGCACAAUGGGCGCAAGCCUGAUGCAGCCAUGCCGCGUGUGUGAAGAAGGCCUUCGGGUUGUAAAGCACUUUCAGCGGGGAGGAAGGCGGUGAGGUUAAUAACCUCAUCGAUUGACGUUACCCGCAGAAGAAGCACCGGCUAACUCCGUGCCAGCAGCCGCGGUAAUACGGAGGGUGCAAGCGUUAAUCGGAAUUACUGGGCGUAAAGCGCACGCAGGCGGUCUGUCAAGUCGGAUGUGAAAUCCCCGGGCUCAACCUGGGAACUGCACUCGAAACUGGCAGGCUAGAGUCUUGUAGAGGGGGGUAGAAUUCCAGGUGUAGCGGUGAAAUGCGUAGAGAUCUGGAGGAAUACCGGUGGCGAAGGCGGCCCCCUGGACAAAGACUGACGCUCAGGUGCGAAAGCGUGGGGAGCGAACAGGAUUAGAUACCCUGGUAGUCCACGCCGUAAACGAUGUCGAUUUGGAGGUUG
rnacentral:rRNA from 1 species